rnacentral:rRNA from 1 species
AUUGAACGCUGGCGGCAGGCCUAACACAUGCAAGUCGAGCGGAUGAAGGGAGUUUGCUCCUGGAUUCAGCGGCGGACGGGUGAGUAAUGCCUAGGAAUCUGCCUGGUAGUGGGGGAUAACGUCCGGAAACGGGCGCUAAUACCGCAUACGUCCUGAGGGAGAAAGUGGGGGAUCUUCGGACCUCACGCUAUCAGAUGAGCCUAGGUCGGAUUAGCUAGUUGGUGGGGUAAAGGCCUACCAAGGCGACGAUCCGUAACUGGUCUGAGAGGAUGAUCAGUCACCCUGGAACUGAAACACGGUCCAGACUCCUACGGGAGGCAGCAGUGGGGAAUAGUAGACAAUGGGCGAAAGCCUGAUCCAGCCAUGCCGCGUGUGUGAAGAAGGUCUUCGGAUUGUAAAGCACUUUAAGUGGGGAGGAAGGGCAGUAAGUUAAUACCUUGCUGUUUUGACGUUACCAACAGAAUAAGCACCGGCUAACUUCGUG